GGUGGCAUUUGGUUGCCUUUCCUGGGGAGAGGCGGCAGGUGCUCAGCUCUGCAGACGUGGGGGCAAGAGAAGGCCCAAGCUGCCUCGAGAAGAGCAGAGGUGCCCCAUGGGGACCAUGAUGACCGGUCGCAUGUGCCAAAGCCAGCCCCCGGCAGGGCCAGCGCAGGGUUUCUGCGGGGCCGUCCUGUGGCUCUGAUAUCUAUGAGUGGGUGGCCAGCAAAGGCACAGGCACCAGCAGAAAGGAGCAGAGAUGCCCAGAACAUGCUGUCCCCCAAUGCCAGCCCCAAGCGAGGCCAGCUUAGGGUGCGGUGGGCAGAGCCAUCCUGCAGCUCUGAGAUCCACGAAGUGGAGGUGGGAGUAGCGCCAGGCUCCACGGCGUUGGAGCUCUCACAACUUGAGCUCAAUUUUAUUCCGGAGCCAUGACCUGCAGCACAUUGGUGACCAGAAGACGCCCAAAGCUUUGAAAAUGGACUUAUCGACCUCAAACCAAUGGGACAUAUUCCUACAUGGCCUUCUCCCCUGUUAGGGUUCCCAGGGUAUGUCUUUAAUGUCUGGUUUAAUAGAAGAAGACUUGGUUCUCCUUUCUGCUUCUAUGUUUAAUUUCUUGUGACAUCCCACGUCAGGUAGCUGGGAAACUCCAAUUAUACUUGUGAGAGAAUGAAAGUGGAAAAGCUGGGCAGAUGUGCCUGAGACAGGUUUGACCAGGCAACUGAAAAGAUAUCCCUAAGAGAAGACAAAGCAAAGGUAUGAAAGGAACACACGUCCCUGACUGACUAGGAGGAACAGAGCUGCCUGCUGUCUGGAACCGCUUCCUCCCAGACUAAGAGAGAAAUAAACUUCUGUUUUCUAUA
rnacentral:lncRNA from 1 species